AUGGUUCCCGCCGCUGCUGUCGCCCUCGGGGCCGCGCGGAGCCUCGCCCGCCGCCAGCGCGGCUCUCCACGGCGGGAGGGAGCCCUCGGCGUUGCGGGGCUGUGCGGGUGGGUAGGGCUGUGCUUCUUGUUGCCCACUGCCUGGCUGGGCUUGCCUCCCCCAGCCUGUCCUGCAGGGAGGCCUCGGGCAGGGCUUGUGGAGGUGGGAGAGCUGCCUGUGUGCCGCCCCAGCAUGCUGCUGUGGAAAAGAAGCUGGAAUAUUUCAGAGAUCAUCAAUGAAACUGCAAAGAGCGCUUAGAAGAGGAGCGGGUGUGAGAGCUGCAGAUCUCCUGGUUAAGCGUGUUUCAUCUAUGAGCCACAAAGACUUGGAUUCUCUUUUUAUGCCUUUUCUUGCUCUUGAUUCAGGAAAUGGAAUAGGGAGGAAAAGGCUACUCCUCCCCAUGCCGUGGGGGCAGCUGAUGGCUUUCGCACCGUCCAUCUUACUGUAGGAUUAACUCUGCUGCUCAAAAGAUUACUUCUGGAUUAACCAAGACACUCUGUACUUGUGCCAUAGGCACCUUCUGCAGCAGAUGUUCAGUCAAGCCUAUGCCAGACAAUUUCCAUAUGUUAAGAAGUUUUUCCAAAGGCUUUUUAGCAGUAUAUGCUUUCCUUAGCUGCUGUAGUGCCAUAAAAAGGCACAUACUGUGACAUAAACCUAAGGUCUGCAGUGCUACCUCUUCCUACUUCCGUCAGCGGAGGGAGCCGAUGUAUGCACUGAAAUUGGGAAGGGAUUUGAUAUUUUUUUUUUUUUUGCAUUCCUUAUAAAGAAGGAGAAUCUUAAUUUUUGCCACUUAUCUUCAGUACUGCCUUUAGAAAAAGAAGUGUGUUGUUUAGUCUUGAUUCUUCCUCCGUUCCCCAUUUAGGCAUCAACACUAAAAAUUAAAGUGAACAAGGAGGUUGAGAAAUUAGGGAACGAUUGUUACUACCACCUUUUUUAUUUUAUUUUGAAGAUAUAAGAUAAUUCUGAAUGGGAAUGGAAAAAAAAUCAAUAGAAAUCUUUUUUUUUUUUAAGGCAAUAAAUUGUUACUAUAGUGAUUUUUUUUUUUAUACCAAGUUUACUUAUUUUACAAUAGUAUAAAGACUAAAAUGUUGUAUGUUCCUCAUUUAAAACUUGCACUCUUUGGCUUCUGUAAGAAUUAAGGUGUUAAAAUAUA